UUCUCAGCUCCAUUCCAGUCUCCAAAAAUCCCUUCCUAAAACGCCUCUGCCCAGGGCAGCGCUGGAGGAUUGUCACCGGGAAGGGACGGGCAAUUCCCAUUCCUGGAAAAGCUGGAAAAGCUGGAAAAGCUGGAAAAGCUGCCCAGCCCCGCCCCGGGGGUGACAAAGGUGACAGCGAGGAGGUGGCACCGAUCCCUGCGGGAGUGGCAGCUCCGCCUCCCCUCAAGGGUUAAAUCCAAACCAGCCCCGGCGUGGAGCAAGGGGAAACAAUUCCCGAGAUUUUGGGGAAAAUUCCCCGUUUCCCAGCAUGGAAAUUCCCCAUUUUCCAGCUCAGAAAUUCCCAUUUCUCAGCAAGGAAAUUCCCCGUUUUCCACCUCAGAAAUUCCCAUUUCUCACCAAGGAAAUUCCCCACUUUUCACCUCAGAAAUUCCCCAUUCCCCGUUCCUGCUGCUGCAAUCCCGGGGGAUUUGGGCUGGAAUCCUCUGGGGGAUUUGGGCUGGAAUCGUCCCGGGGAUUUGGGCUGGAAUCGUCCCGGGGAUUUGGGCUGGAAUCCUCCGGGGAUUUGGGCUGGAAUCCUCCGGGGGAUUUGGGCUGGAAUCCUCCGGGGAUUUGGGCUGGAAUCGUCCCGGGGAUUUGGGCUGGAAUCCUCCAGGGAUUUGGGCUGGAAUCGUCCCGGGGAUUUGGGCUGGAAUCGUCCCGGGGAUUUGGGCUGGAAUCCUCUGGGGAUUUGGGCUGGAAUCCUCCGGGGAUUUGGGCUGGAAUCCUCCGGGGAUUUGGGCUGGAAUCCUCCGGGGAUUUGGGCUGGAAUCGUCCCGGGGAUUUGGGCUCCUGCCGCCCCUCGGGAUGAGGAUCCCGGCUGGGAAUUUCUCCCAGCUCCAGCAGGAUCCAAACUGGUGGGGUGGGAGGCGGGGGAGGACGAAAUGUUCCAUUUUUGUGUCCCCAGCGAAGCUCCUGCUGCCCCAACCUCUGCCACCUCUGCCACCCCUGCGUGCCACCCGCAGCUCAGGACCUGCUCCCGACAUUCCCGGGGCUCCCAAAAACGCGGAAUUUUACAAUUUUGGCCGAGGAGUUUGUGCCAGAGUCCGGCCGGGGCUGUUCCUCCUCCCUGCGGCGUCUCCGUGGGGUGGUGGCAGCAGGGAGGGGACAGGAGGGGACACUGAGGCAGGGCGGGGAGCAGAGAAUUCCAGGUGAGGAAAAACCCUCCCGGAAAGGCAAAAUCCCAACGGAGGCUGACGGAAAUAAACGCAAACGGAUCCGGGAGCGCUCCCCUCCU
rnacentral:lncRNA from 1 species